UAUACAGCCUUAAUAUGUAACACUCCUAUACCAUGAAAGAUGCUUUCACACAUUAGGAUGUUGCACAUAUACAUCUAAAUAUGUUGCACUCCUAGACAGAGAAGAUGGAUUCAUGGCAGAUAGGAAGAGUCAACAUAUACAGCCCAGAUAUGUUCCACUCCUACCCACUGAAUAUGGUUUCAUGGUAGAUGCACAUUAGGAUGUUUAACAUAUACAGCCGAAAUAUGUUACACUCCUAGACAAUGAAGAUGGUUUCAUGGUAGAUUGAUCACACAUCUGGAUACGUAGCAUAUAGACUAGAUAUGUUACCCUCCUAGACAAUGAAGAUGCUUUCAUGGUAUACAGCACACGAAGAUUUGUAUCAUAUAACGCCUAAAUAUGUUACACUCUUCGACAAUGAAAAUGGUUUCAUUGUAGAUAGCACAUUAGGAUGUCACAUGUAGGUA